rnacentral:rRNA from 1 species
AUUGAACGCUGGCGGCAGGCUUAACACAUGCAAGUCGAGCGGGGGAAGGUAGCUUGCUACCGGACCUAGCGGCGGACGGGUGAGUAAUGCUUAGGAAUCUGCCUAUUAGUGGGGGACAACAUCUCGAAAGGGAUGCUAAUACCGCAUACGUCCUACGGGGGAAAGCAGGGGAUCUUCGGACCUUGCGCUAAUAGAUGAGCCUAAGUCGGAUUAGCUAGUUGGUGGGGUAAAGGCCUACCAAGGCGACGAUCUGUAGCGGGUCUGAGAGGAUGAUCCGACACACUGGGACUGAGACACGGCCCAGACUCCUACGGGAGGCAGCAGUGGGGAAUAUUGGACAAUGGGGGGAACCCUGAUCCAGCCAUGCCGCGUGUGUGAAGAAGGCCUUAUGGUUGUAAAGCACUUUAAGCGAGGAGGAGGCUACUCUAGUUAAUACCUAGGGAUAGUGGACGUUACUCGCAGAAUAAGCACCGGCUAACUCUGUGCCAGCCGCCGCGGUAA